CUGCGGUUCUGAGCGCGCCGUCCGCGUCCACCUGACAGCUGCUCGCUACGUUUCGUUAG
rnacentral:sRNA from 1 species